rnacentral:rRNA from 1 species
AUUGAACGCUGGCGGCAUGCCUAACACAUGCAAGUCGAACGGAAACGAUGGGAGCUUGCUUCCAGGCGUCGAGUGGCGGACGGGUGAGUAAUACUUAGGAGUCUGCCCAUUAGCGGGGGACAACUCGGGGAAACUCGAGCUAAUACCGCAUACGCCCUACGGGGGAAAGCAGGGGAUCUUCGGACCUUGCACUAAUGGAUGAGCCUAAGUCGGAUUAGCUUGUUGGUGAGGUAAAGGCUCACCAAGGCGACGAUCCCUAGCUGGUCUUAGAGGAUGACCAGCCACACUGGAACUGAGACACGGUCCAG